AUUAAGGUAGUUUAUAUAAAAAUUUUUAUUUUACACAUAAAGGAAGAUUGUUUUAUCCCUUAAUA
rnacentral:tRNA from 1 species